rnacentral:rRNA from 1 species
GACGAACGCUGGCGGCGUGCUUAACACAUGCAAGUCGAACGGAAAGGCCUGCUUUCCCUUGUGGAUUGCGGGUACUCGAGUGGCGAACGGGUGAGUAACACGUGAGUGAUCUGCCCCCAACUUGGGUAUAAGCCUGGGAAACUGGGUCUAAUUCCCGAUAGGACUGCAGGGUGGUGCCUGUGGUGGAAAACGAUUUUCUAGUGGUUGGGGAUGAGCUCGCGGCCUAUCAGCUUGUUGGUGGGGUAAUGGCCUACCAAGGCGGCGACGGGUAGCCGGCCUGGGGGGGGGGAGGGGCAAUUGGGAGACGGGGACCGGCCCAGACCCCGACGGGGGGGGGAGGGGGGGAAUAUUGCACAAGGGGGGGAAGGCUGAGCCAGGGGCGCCGGGUGGGGGAGGACGGCCUUGGGGUUGUAAACCCCUUUGGACCGCGGGGAAGCCACCUGGUUGGAAGGGUGGUGACGGUAGUUGUAGAAGAAGCACCGGCUAACUACGU